GAAUAUCCCAAGGGGAGUAGACAAAAAAGAAUGGGAAUGGUUAGUAAAGGAACAUUUUACUUCUGAAAGUUUUCAGGCAAGAAGCAUCAGGAAUGCAACAAACCGAUCUAAGCUGAGGAUGCUUCAUCAUAUUGGUAGCAAACCUAUUCGAGAGAUUAUUUAUCAAAAGGGUGGGAAAGAUGGCAAUCCACCAGAUUUGGCGACUAUUUUCUUUGAG